AUCUUUGCGCAGUGGCAGUAUCGUAGCCUAUGAGGUUUAUCCGAGGCGCGAUUAUUGCUAGUUGAAAACUUUACCCAAUACCCCGCCUGGACGACUUGAAAUAUAGUCGGCUGUGGCAAUUUUUGAUGGUCUCUGAGGAGG
rnacentral:snRNA from 1 species